AUGUGGCGCGGGGUGCUUGAGCAGUCCAACUCCCGGUCCAAGGACCUCGGCCUGGACGAACUAGUGGCGGACAAUUCCGUGGCGUCGGCGCCGUACAACGGGGACGACCUGGAGAUGAAGCGGUUCACCAUGGAGUUCCUGUCCCAUUACUGCAGGGUUCUGAAGAAUGGUGUGGAGGUGAAGUUGCAGAGGAAUGCCCUGAGUGUCUUGGAAGCUCCAGCUACUUCUUGUGCAGGGCAUCUCGACAAGCAACUCCUCAAGCAUCUCAACAAGCAUCUCGAUAAGCAUCUCAACAAGCAACUCCUCAAGCAUCUCGACAAGCAUCUCAACAAGCAACUCCUCAAGCAUCUCGACAAGCAAAUCCUCAAGCAUCUCAAAAAGCAACUCCUCAAGCAUCUUAACUAG
rnacentral:rRNA from 1 species